UGGGGAAUAUUGCACAAUGGGCGCAAGCCUGAUGCAGCCAUGCCGCGUGUAUGAAGAAGGCCUUCGGGUUGUAAAGUACUUUCAGCGAGGAGGAAGGCGUUGUGGUUAAUAACUGCAACGAUUGACGUUACUCGCAGAAGAAGCACCGGCUAACUCCGUGCCAGCAGCCGCGGUAAUACGGAGGGUGCAAGCGUUAAUCGGAAUUACUGGGCGUAAAGCGCACGCAGGCGGUCUGUCAAGUCGGAUGUGAAAUCCCCGGGCUCAACCUGGGAACUGCAUCCGAAACUGGCAGGCUAGAGUCUUGUAGAGGGGGGUAGAAUUCCAGGUGUAGCGGUGAAAUGCGUAGAGAUCUGGAGGAAUACCGGUGGCGAAGGCGGCCCCCUGGACAAAGACUGACGCUCAGGUGCGAAAGCGUGGGGAGCAAACA
rnacentral:rRNA from 1 species